CAGUCGAGCGAACAGACAAGGAGCUUGCUCCUUUGACGUUAGCGGCGGACGGGUGAGUAACACGUGGGUAACCUACCUAUAAGACUGGGAUAACUUCGGGAAACCGGAGCUAAUACCGGAUAAUAUUUCGAACCGCAUGGUUCGAUAGUGAAAGAUGGUUUUGCUAUCACUUAUAGAUGGACCCGCGCCGUAUUAGCUAGUUGGUAAGGUAACGGCUUACCAAGGCGACGAUACGUAGCCGACCUGAGAGGGUGAUCGGCCACACUGGAACUGAGACACGGUCCAGACUCCUACGGGAGGCAGCAGUAGGGAAUCUUCCGCAAUGGGCGAAAGCCUGACGGAGCAACGCCGCGUGAGUGAUGAAGGUCUUCGGAUCGUAAAACUCUGUUAUUAGGGAAGAACAUACGUGUAAGUAACUAUGCACGUCUUGACGGUACCUAAUCAGAAAGCCACGGCUAACUACGUGCCAGCAGCCGCGGUAAUACGUAGGUGGCAAGCGUUAUCCGGAAUUAUUGGGCGUAAAGCGCGCGUAGGCGGUUUUUUAAGUCUGAUGUGAAAGCCCACGGCUCAACCGUGGAGGGUCAUUGGAAACUGGAAAACUUGAGUGCAGAAAAGGAAAGUGGAAUUCCAUGUGUAGCGGUGAAAUGCGCAGAGAUAUGGAGGAACACCAGUGGCGAAAGCGACUUUCUGGUCUGUAACUGACGCUAAUAUGCGAAAACGUGGGGAUCAAACG
rnacentral:rRNA from 1 species